GGGUCGAGUUGACUGGUUGAUUUCGUGCUUGUUAUAGAGGAGCAAGGCUGAAGUCAGUUCGGGUGGCAGAAUCAUCAAUGCCGAUGGUGCUAUGCAGCGUUCAUGGGUAGUUUGCUUAAUCCAAGCUCGGAAGAGAUGGCGGGAUAUGAAGUGUGCCCAUUGCUCUAAAUGCUAGUGUUUCGAAAUUCAGUAGAGGGCGGAUUAUGCGCCGACGGAGCUAUGGCGUGGAAAAUUUGAAAAGCGAGGUUUUGGAGCUAGGGGCCCUCUACCAAGUGUCUUGUCUUCAAAUUAGUGACAUGCAGUAAUCGAUUGACGAGAAUCCCACUGUCGGCAAUUACUAUCUAGCCAGGCCAUUUCCAAGAGAAUGGGUUUGGCGGAAUCAGCGGCGGUUGAAGUCCCUGUUGAACUUGGCUGUAGUCCGACCUUGUGGAACGGACUGACGGUUUUCGCACAGGUCUGAGUUUUGUCGAUCAUGAAGUACCGCUGGUCGCAGUGUCGUUUUUCCUAUUCCGUCAGAAUGCGCGGCAUUCCCAACACAUGGUUUUUGUGUUAAGGUGCUUUUGGCGUAGUGUUGGAUGCGGCAGCCAUAGUCGGGCGGGAAGGUUGGCUGGGGCGGCAAAUGCGUGAAACCGAACGAGGUAAACUACGGCAAGCUCACUGAGAACAAGGCAUAUGUCUCGUGUUGGCUAGAGGGGGAAGCGUGCCUGAUUUUGAUUUUGAGUACGAGUACGAACCGUGGCGGCAUGGCAUUUUCAUCCUUUGGGUUUGGGAUACUUACAGCUAGACAUGUCAAAAACGUAACCACAUGGUGUUUGCAUAUGUGGGUGUGCGU
rnacentral:ncRNA from 1 species